AUUGAACGCUGGCGGCAUGGCUUACACAUGCAAGUCGAACGGCAGCACGGGUGCUUGCACCUGGUGGCGAGUGGCGAACGGGUGAGUAAUACAUCGGAACAUGUCCUGUAGUGGGGGAUAGCCCGGCGAAAGCCGGAUUAAUACCGCAUACGAUCUACGGAUGAAAGCGGGGGACCUUCGGGCCUCGCGCUAUAGGGUUGGCCGAUGGCUGAUUAGCUAGUUGGUGGGGUAAAGGCCUACCAAGGCGACGAUCAGUAGCUGGUCUGAGAGGACGACCAGCCACACUGGGACUGAGACACGGCCCAGACUCCGACGGGAGGCAGCAGUGGGGAAUUUUGGACAAAGGGCGAAAGCCUGAUCCAGCAAUGCCGCGUGUGUGAAGAAGGCCUUCGGGUUGUAAAGCACUUUUGUCCGGAAAGAAAUCCUUGGCCCUAAUACGGUCGGGGGAUGACGGUACCGGAAGAAUAAGCACCGGCUAACUACGUG
rnacentral:rRNA from 1 species